UACGUAGGGUGCGAGCGUUGUCCGGAAUUAUUGGGCGUAAAGGGCUCGUAGGCGGUUUGUCACGUCGGGAGUGAAAACUCAGGGCUUAACCCUGAGCCUGCUUCCGAUACGGGCAGACUAGAGGUAUGCAGGGGAGAACGGAAUUCCUGGUGUAGCGGUGAAAUGCGCAGAUAUCAGGAGGAACACCGGUGGCGAAGGCGGGAUCCUGGGCCAGUACUGACGCUGAGGAGCGAAAGCGUGGGGAGCAAACAGG
rnacentral:rRNA from 1 species